GAUGAACGCUGGCGGCGUGCCUAAUACAUGCAAGUCGAGCGAACAGACGAGGAGCUUGCUCCUCUGACGUUAGCGGCGGACGGGUGAGUAACACGUGGAUAACCUACCUAUAUGACUGGGAUAACUUCGGGAAACCGGAGCUACUACCGGAUAAUAUAUUGAACCGCAUGGUUCAAUAGUGAAAGACGGUUUUGCUGUCACUUAUAGAUGGAUCCGCGCCGCAUUAGCUAGUUGGUAAGGUAACGGCUUACCAAGGCAACGAUGCGUAGCCGACCUGAGAGGGUGAUCGGCCACACUGGAACUGAGACACGGUCCAGACUCCUACGGGAGGCAGCAGUAGGGAAUCUUCCGCAAUGGGCGAAAGCCUGACGGAGCAACGCCGCGUGAGUGAUGAAGGUCUUCGGAUCGUAAAACUCUGUUAUUAGGGAAGAACAAAUGUGUAAGUAACUAUGCACGUCUUGACGGUACCUAAUCAGAAAGCCACGGCUAACUACGUG
rnacentral:rRNA from 1 species